rnacentral:rRNA from 1 species
AUGCGCGCGGAGGUAACUGCUCCGUCCGUGCACGUGAACGCCGGAAACCAGCGCUACUUUUUUGUCGACACUAGUAACAGCAGCCCAAAAAAGCGGGAGUUUGGGCCGUCGGUUUCCUCUGUUUUCUCCGCCCGUCCGUCCGUCCGUCCCUGCUGCUGCCGCCAUUCUCGCUGGCCGGCAACACGGAGAUGGAGGCCGAGAUGGAUGGAUGGAUGGAGACGAGGGCAGCAGAUGUUAGGGUAUCUUUUUUUUUUUGGGGUCAUCUCAUCAUCAGGUCUCUCCAGAAAUGUCCGUCCGUUUCCGGCCCAGGCUAGACAGGGGCAGUUUCGUCAGACGCUGCGAGUACUGGUAGAAGAUGACAAAUGGAGUGAGGGCAUGGGAGUCAAUGCGCACUCCCCCCACCAACCCCAAAACCUCAUCUGUUGGGUUCCUUGUUCAAAUUUUGUUGCUCGCCUAGAUAGCUUGCGAAGGCGUGAAAAAAAUGCCAUGCGCGCGGCGGUAACUGCUCACGUGAAAACCAUGCGUGCAUCCCUAGUAACAGCAGCACAAAAAAAGCCCGCCCCUCCCCCACCAACCCCAAAACCUCCUCCUCUGCUCUGCUGUCUGCUCUACUCUAAUCCACACUACCAAACCCACACCUCCUCCUCCAAAUAG